rnacentral:rRNA from 1 species
UACGUAGGGGGCAAGCGUUGUCCGGAAUCAUUGGGCGUAAAGCGCGUGUAGGCGGUUCAGUAAGUCUGCUGUGAAAGUCCAGGGCUCAACCCUGGGAUGCCGGUGGAUACUGCUGGACUAGAGUACGGAAGAGGCGAGUGGAAUUCCCGGUGUAGCGGUGAAAUGCGCAGAUAUCGGGAGGAACACCAAUUGCGAAGGCAGCUCGCUGGGACGUCACUGACGCUGAGACGCGAAAGCGUGGGGAGCAAACAGG